CUGCAGCCCGAGUGGUGAUCGAUUUUAUUGAGCCUAAAGCGCCCGUAGCCGGACUAGUAAACCCUUGGGUAAAUUGGGCAGCUUAACUGUCCAAAUUCCGAGGGGACUGCUAGUCUUGGGACCGGGAGAGGUCAGAGGUACUCAAGGGGUAGGGGCUAAAUCCUGUAAUCCUUUGGGGACCACCAGUGGCGAAGGCGUCUGACUAGAACGGAUCCGACGGUAAGGGACGAAACCCUGGGGCGCGAACCGGAUUAGAUACCCGAGUAGUCC
rnacentral:rRNA from 1 species